CUCAAUAAUGCAAUAAACCUGAAACCUGAAGGGAAUUAGGGAAUGAGAUAGGGGGACAUCUGGAGAAUAGUGUUCCCGCAGAGGGAAGGGAAAUUCAAAAGCCCUGAGGAAGGAGUAGACGUCUUGUGUUUGAGAACCAGAAAGAAGACCAGAGUGACACGGUAGAAAAUGAGUUCCUGUAGUGGCUGGUGUGCUAUGUCUCAUUAAAAUUUCCAAAGUCAGCUCUGGAGUUCAAGCUUUCUCAAAGAUCAAUGCAGACUUCACUUACCAUUGGGUUUUGCUGAUCCAUCCUUCAAGAAGCUAAUUUAAAUUUCUCCCUGCUAGGUAAUAUGAUCUCCAAUGUAUGACCUUCUAAUUCUGUUGAAGAAAAGGAGACUGAAGUUGUAAAAAUAAUUUCAACUCAAACUCCUUGGAUCCAACUCACAUAAUUAAUUUAACAGUAGCUCAAGGUUUCUUUUUUCCUUAAACCACUCUUUCUUUUUCCUAAUUGCCUAAUUUUCUAAUAGGCAUUGGAAUCUUCCAUUUGAGUCCUCUCAGAGCC